UGAUAAAAACAGAUCCGGAUGUGACGUAGCCCCACCUGUCAGCCACUGGUUGGGGUUGACCUGGCUGGCUAGGAGGUGUCCCCUAUCUCCUUCGCCACCCCAAAGCUACACGCUGGGUCAAAGAGAAUAGAUAGAGAAAUCUUUGGUUCAAAAUGUGUGAGCAGCCGCAUUUUCUGCCACAACCUCAAAUAAGCUCUUCAGUUCCAUUUGCAGGAGGGUGGAGACCCAAGCUUCAAGCUCCAGAUACAUCCAUGCUGCGUGCAUGUGGCAAUCUGCUUUUCUUU
ensembl:misc_RNA 7SK 7SK RNA